rnacentral:tRNA from 1 species
GCAGGUCUAGCUCAGUGGUAGAGCGUGUGCUUAGUAAGCACAAGGGCCUGGGUUCAAUCCCCAGUACCUCA